UAUAUAUAUAAAUAUAAAUAUAAUAUAUGUGUGAUUAAUUCACAAUAUGCCAAACUGCAAAAUUAUACAAAAUAAGAAUGAACGUUCACUGCAUUGAACUGUUUGUUUGAGGCAAAUUAUUAUUUAAAAAACAAUCAUUCAUUUGGAUAACAUCCUUUUUAUAUACAUGAUAUUUCAUCGUAAAUAUUAAAUUAUUGUCCGGCCUCAAAGGUGCACCAAGGACAACAACACGGUUCAUGGUCCUGUAACUGUCAACCGAAUUAGUCCGAAAUCAUUUGAAGAUGUCACCACUUUGUCUCAUCUGAUUGGUCCUGAUGGGAGGAGUGUUGGCCAAUAACAUUCGUCCAUUUAUGCUUCUUCAACGAGUUCCGGAGGCCGCGCUGUGACGCAGCAGCGCCCCCUGCUGCACAGCACCGGCAGGUCCACCACAGGAGCUGGAAUAAGAGAGGGAAUAUGAAUAUUUUAUUUUUUGGUUUAUCAAGGUGAUAAUUUAUUUUUUUAUUGUACCUUUAUCCGUGUGUGUGGAUAAAUGUUUUGUCUUAUUGAAGGCCCCCCUUCGCCCCCUCACCCAAAUGUGUAAAAUGUAAAGAAAUUCUGAGACACUGUGUGAGAUGUUAGGAUAAAUACACAGUAUUAUUUGAGCUAACUCAAACCUGUUUUAAUUAACUGCUGACCGGUAUUCAGUUAAAUGCCGACUCGGGAGACAAAAACAGAUUGUCUUUCAGGAAGAAAACUGUUGCAGUAAAUCCAGACUUCAGUGAGCUCAGCGAGCCCCACUUCUGCCUGCCGUGGAGUUGUUCUGAAUGUGUGUGUGUGUGUGUGUGUGUGUGUGUGUGUGUGUGUGUGUGUGUGUGUGUGUGUGAGAGAGCAAGCAGGUAGCCACCAUCUUUAAUCUGGUUUGUUUAACUUCACAUUUUUAAGGAGUUGGUAAAAACUGCAUGCACAUUAAUGUCCUCCUGUUUUUGGUCAGCUUCCACCACAGCGUCAAACAUUCUUGUUACAGUCAUCACAUGGUCUAAAGCAGCGACUGUCUACGUGUCCCCUCAGAUUGUGAUACAUCAUCAUGGAUAUUAGCCUCAAUGAUUGAUCAGUUAUUUUAGCAGCAUUUUCUGCAUCUGACAUCACUCCGACUGUUUGUUAGAACAGUGAAAGUAAAUGAGAUUAAAUCUUUCCAGAAGCUCUGGGGCUCUUGUUGUCAUUUCUUAUGUCAACAGACGCGUCCAGCUCUGCCACGACAGGUGAAUCCCGCUGAAGAAGCAGCAGCCUGAAGGUCAUGAGACACUGUCAGUUCUCAUCAAUCGCUUUGAUUAUCAUAUAAAACAUCAGCAGCAUCUGCCCUCAUGGACACAUAUUUAAAGGAAUACAUCCAGACCGUAAAAAAAAAAAAUGUUUAGCCACUUGGAGAGCAGAAGAAGCCAGCUCACACAACAUUGACAUAUAACCACAUUUUAAAUCAAUAUGUUCUUGAUGUGAAAGAUUGUUGGCUUUAGGGGGAUUAAUUGGCAGAAAGGGCAUACGGUGUUCAUUACUAAGUAAACAACAUAAUCCAUUGGCUGUUUAUAGGAAGUAUAAUAUGAGGUGAUAAGUAUCUUAUAAGGCAUAAGGGGCGUGUUUUCGUGAUGUCAUAAUGAGCCGCUAAUAUCAACCUUUAUAUCUAUGAUAUCAACCACAUGAGCGGUUCUUCUUCAGGAGGUCGCCCACGUCGCUACGGUGGCCCGCAGCGGACAAACCAAACUCCUAAUUGAGAACCGUUAGUUCUCUAAAAAGAGCUUUGUGAUCACUUUUACGCUUCAAUCAGCUACCGAGCAACGAGGUCAUUAAUUUGCAGUCCAGUUUAUGUCCACCUGAUGAAUAGGUCGUACUCCCGGUACAUGACGUAAUCCUUCAGUCGCCCUGGCAACGGCACGAAGCUCAUGAAGACAGGGGAUCGUAGACGGAGGCGACCGAGACAACGACGGAUCCGCAGACGACAGAGAUGCUGCAGGGGGCGAGCGUUUUCUGGGGAGGAGGAGGAGGAGGAAACGUUGACCACCGAAUCCUGCAGAUGUCGGGCCACUGCCGCUGUUCCAUCACGGCCGCCUUCAGCUUGGAGCACAGGGGCACGUGGUCCAGGUAGUCCAGCAUGACGCGGACCAGCUGACCAGAGAGGUCCUUCAGCCAGCGGACGGUGAUCACCUCGCAGAACUGCACUGACGGAGGUUCAACAGGACACUUUUCAGUGUGAAUGAGCCGCACAACACGCAGGUACCUGCAGACAUUUGAUGGGGUCCUGGUUGGCCAUGGCUCCGGCCUCCAGCAGCAGUUUGGCCGACGGGACGUCGUUAUUUAAGACUGCGAAGAAGAGCGCCGACUUCCUUUCGUCGUCAUAGCUCCGCUGGACCCAGGGAUGGAGCAUGUAGUUGGGGUCAUAACCUGCGUCCAGCAAGGCCUGAUGGGAGUUGUGGAGGAGGGACUAUUAAGCUGUUGUGUGCUUAACAGACAGUAUAGAGCACUAAGUCCAACAUAAUAGAUGAAACAGUAGUUAAGUAAAUGUAAUAUCCCCCCCUCACACACACACCUUGAUGCAGUCCGGGUGUCCUCCUGCAGCAGCAGAGUGCAGAGGACUUAUUCCGCUGUCCUCAACUUCGGCCUUAGAAGUGACGGGAAUCAGCAGCUUUAGAGCUCUGAGACACACACACACACACACACACACACACACACACACACACACGAUGAGGAUGUUGUUCCUCACAGAAUGAAUGACUCGUGAAACUAGCUUUAAGUCAACAUGUACUGCAGGUGUCCCCGGUGGGCCACGCGGUGGAGCGGCAGGUGUCCCGUCUGUUUCGCCACGUUGGCGUCGGCGCCAAAAUCCAGCAGCAGACCGACGACCUCUGGAUCUCCUGAGGAAGACGCCUCGUACAAGAUGGAGGCCUCGUCCUGCGCCUGGGACAGGACGUCUGCUCCUGCAGGACGAACAAGAGGGAAAAAUGUCCAUCUGAACGUUUUUCAUGUUAACGUAAGUAAGUAGGUAACGCAGCGGAGACCCCCGGCUCUCACACCUCUCCUCAGCAGCGUCUCCACCACUUCACGGCGUCCCGCCUGAGCCGCCAGCGCCAGCGGCGUGAGGCCGUCGCGGCUC